UACGAAGGGGGCUAGCGUUGUUCGGAAUUACUGGGCGUAAAGGGCGCGUAGGCGGUGUGUCAAGUCAGCGUGAAAGCCCCGGGCUCAACCUGGGAACCGCGCUUGAGACUGGCACGCUAGAGUUCGGGAGAGGAUGGUGGAAUUCCCAGUGUAGAGGUGAAAUUCGUAGAUAUUGGGAAGAACACCGAUGGCGAAGGCAGCCAUCUGGACCGACACUGACGCUGAGGCGCGAAAGCGUGGGGAGCAAACAGG
rnacentral:rRNA from 1 species